rnacentral:rRNA from 1 species
CCUACGGGAGGCUGCAGUGAGGAAUAUUGGUCAAUGGACGAGAGUCUGAACCAGCCACGUAGCGUGAAGGAUGACUGCCCUAUGGGUUGUAAACUUCUUUUAUAUGGGAAUAAAAUGUUACACGUGUGGGAUUUUGUAUGUACCAUAUGAAUAAGGAACGGCUAACUCAGUGCCAGCAGCCGCGGUAAUACGGAGGAUCCGAGCGUUAUCCGGAGUUAUUGGGUUUAAGGGGAGCGUAGGUGGAUUGUUAAGUCAGUUGUGAAAGUUUGCGGCUCAACCGUAAAAUUGCAGUUGAAACUGGCAGUCUUGAGUACAGUAGAGGUGAGCGGAAUUCGUGGUGUAGCGGUGAAAUGCUUAGAUAUCACGAAGAACUCCGAUUGCGAAGGCAGUUCACUGGACUGCAACUGACACUGAGGCUCGAAAGUGUGGGUAUCAAACAGGAUUAGAUACCCCGGUAGUC